rnacentral:rRNA from 1 species
GUGGGGAAUAUUGGACAAUGGGCGCAAGCCUGAUCCAGCCAUGCCGCGUGAGUGAUGAAGGCCUUAGGGAUGUAAAGCUCUUUCAGUGGGGACGAUAAUGACGGUACCCACAGAAGAAGCCCCGGCUAACUUCGUGCCAGCAGCCGCGGUAAUACGAAGGGGGCUAGCGUUGUUCGGAUUUACUGGGCGUAAAGCGCACGUAGGCGGAUCGUUAAGUCGGGGGUGAAAUCCUGGAGCUCAACUCCAGAACUGCCUUCGAUACUGGCGAUCUUGAGUCCGGAAGAGGUGAGUGGAACUCCUAGUGUAGAGGUGGAAUUCGUAGAUAUUAGGAAGAACACCAGUGGCGAAGGCGGCUCACUGGUCCGGUACUGACGCUGAGGUGCGAAAGCGUGGGGAGCAAACAGGAUUAGAUACCCCAGUAGUCC